UCAUGGACGAGAGUCUGAACCAGCCAAGUAGCGUGAAGGAUGACUGCCCUAUCCGUUGUAAACUUCUUUUAUACGGGAAUAAAGUGAGGCACGUGUGCCUUUUUGUAUGUACCGUAUGAAUAAGGAUCGGCUAACUCCGUGCCAGCAGCCGCGGUAAUACGGAGGAUCCGAGCGUUAUCCGGAUUUAUUGGGUUUAAAGGGAGCGUAGGCGGACGCUUAAGUCAGUUGUGAAAGUUUGCGGCUCAACCGUAAAAUUGCAGUUGAUACUGGGUGUCUUGAGUACAGUAGAGGCAGGCGGAAUUCGUGGUGUAGCGGUGAAAUGCUUAGAUAUCACGAAGAACUCCGAUUGCGAAGGCAGCCUGCUGGACUGUAACUGACGCUGAUGCUCGAAAGUGUGGGUAUCAAACAGGAUUAGAUACCCUGGUAGUCCAAGGGCGAAUUC
rnacentral:rRNA from 1 species